GGACGGCAGGGUGAUGGCGUUCCACCUUUCCCAACCGUUCCGUUCCGGAACUGAUGACGCCUGAUGUGAC
rnacentral:ncRNA from 2 species